GACGAACGCUGGCGGCGUGCUUAACACAUGCAAGUCGAACGGAAAGGCCCUGCUUUUGUGGGGUGCUCGAGUGGCGAACGGGUGGGUAACACGUGAGUAACCUGCCCUUGACUUUGGGAUAACUUCAAGAAACUGGGGCUAAUACUGGAUAGGAGCUCCUGCUGCAUGGUGGGGGUUGGAAAGUUUCGGCGGUUGGGGAUGGACUCGCGGCUUAUCAGCUUGUUGGUGGGGUAGUGGCUUACCAAGGCUUUGACGGGUAGCCGGCCUGUGAGGGUGACCGGCCACAUUGGGACUGAGAGACGGCCCAGACUCCUACGGGAGGCAGCAGUGGGGAAUAUUGCACAAUGGGCGGAAGCCUGAUGCAGCAACGCCGCGUGCGGGAUGACGGCCUUCGGGUUGUAAACCGCUUUCGCCUGUGACGAAGCGUGAGUGACGGUAAUGGGUAAAGAAGCACCGGCUAACUACGUG
rnacentral:rRNA from 1 species